rnacentral:rRNA from 2 species
CAAGUACCGUUCGAAUAGGGCGGUACCUUGACGGUACCUAACCAGAAAGCCACGGCUAACUACUUGCCAGCAGCCGCGGUAAUACGUAGGUGGCAAGCGUUGUCCGGAAUUAUUGGGCGUAAAGGGCUCGCAGGCGGUUUCUUAAGUCUGAUGUGAAAGCCCCCGGCUCAACCGGGGAGGGUCAUUGGAAACUGGGGAACUUGAGUGCAGAAAAGGAGAGUGGAAUUCCACGUGUAGCGGUGAAAUGCGUAGAGAUGUGGAGGAACACCAGUGGCGAAGGCGACUCUCUGGUCUGUAACUGACGCUGAGGAGCGAAAGCGUGGGGAGCGAACAGGAUUAGAUACCCUGGUAGUCCACGCCGUAAACGAUGAGUGCUAAGUGUUAGGGGGUUUCCGCCCCUUAGUGCUGCAGCUAACGCAUUAAGCACUCCGCCUGGGGAGUACGGUCGCAAGACUGAAACUCAAAGGAAUUGACGGGGGCCCGCACAAGACU